UACAGAGGUCCCAAGCGUUGUUCGGAUUCACUGGGCGUAAAGGGUGCGUAGGCGGUCGGGUAAGUCUGAUGUGAAAUCUCACAGCUUAACUGUGAAACUGCAUUGGAUACUAUCCGGCUCGAGGAAUGGAGGGGGGAGACUGGAAUACUUGGUGUAGCAGUGAAAUGCGUAGAUAUCAAGUGGAACACCAGUGGCGAAGGCGAGUCUCUGGACAUUUCCUGACGCUGAGGCACGAAAGCCAGGGGGAGCAAACGGG
rnacentral:rRNA from 1 species